UGGGGAAUUUUGGACAAUGGGGGAAACCCUGAUCCAGCCAUCCCGCGUGUGCGAUGAAGGCCUUCGGGUUGUAAAGCACUUUUGGCAGGAAAGAAACGUCAUGGGCUAAUACCCCGUGAAACUGACGGUACCUGCAGAAUAAGCACCGGCUAACUACGUG
rnacentral:rRNA from 1 species